UUAAACAGCACGUGGUGAUGAACUCGUUGAAGCGUGCAGAGUUACUUGAUGUUGUGUUAAAUAUCGUCAACACAUUUGUGAAGGGAAACAUAUUGUAAUAUGGCUGCGUUUACGGUUGACGAUCACAUUGCAAGUCUUUUCGCAGAGUUUUGUCUCGUAACUGGAGCUACUGAAGAUGAAGCACUUGAAUAUUUACAAAAGAAAGACUGGCAAGUUGUGGAUGCAAUCAAUUUAUACUUUGACACAGUGGCAAAUCAACCUGAUGACAUGGAAGCAGCUGCAGCAAGUCUGUCUGCUAAAGAUAGCUGCGGUGGAAGCACAACUCAACAACAAGGUGAAAAGAAGAUCAAAUUAGUAACAUGGAAUAUUGAUGGUCUGGAUGAUAAAGAUCUGAUGCACCGAACCAAAGCAGUCUGUAGUACUAUAGAAAGACUAGAUCCAGAUAUUGUGUUUCUCCAGGAGGUAAUUGUUGACACUGCAUCAUACAUUGAGAAACGAUGUCAAAGGUACAAGGUGUUAAAGACAAGUAAUACUGCAUAUUUCACUGCUAUGAUGUUUAAAAAAAGCUCAGUCACAAUUCUGUCAAAUUCUGUUCAGCCAUUUGAGAAUACGACAAUGAUGAGGAUGCUACAAAAAGUUCAGGUCAAGUGUGCUGGACUUGAUCUCCUUCUCAUGAACUCUCACCUAGAGAGCACAAAAGAGAAACAUGCAGAACGGAAGGAACAGUUCAAGAUUGCACUCGAGGAAAUGGCCAAUGCUAGUAGGGAUACUGUGGUUUUGUUUGGAGGUGAUACAAACCUAAGAGACAGUGAGGUGAGCCGUAUGGGAGGCAUACCUGGAGGGAUCGUGGACCUGUGGGAACUGUUUGGUCGUCCAGAAGAUUCCAAGUAUACAUGGGAUACCCAGCAGAACAACAACCUCAAUUGGCCGUAUCCUAACAAACCAAGAAUACGUUUUGACAGGCUGUUCCUAAGGCAAGCUGAGACAGCCUCUCAAGUUUCUCUACAAACAUUCAAACUCAUUGGUAAUGAGUGGAUUGCAGCAGUUGAUCGCUUUCCGAGCGACCACUUUGGGAUUUUCUGUGACUUCAAAGUCAAUUAAGAUGCUGUGAAGAAAAUUUAUGUCCUCUUUGCCAAUCCAAGCACAAAUCCAAACAGUUGGUGGAGUGGUUGUGUUUGUGUUCUCAAUCUUGAGGUCGGGGUGUGAGCUUCUUGCUGUAUAUUUCGCUUAUGUCCUUAAGCAAGGCAAUUUAAAAAUAUUUUUGUCGCUUUCACCUAGGAAUAUAAACAGAUACCUGUGACAGUGAAUGUAUUUGCCCAAUGGAGGACAGGCAUACUUCCCAGGUAGUGGAAGAGGUUGCACUUUGUGCCAUUUCGAGAAUACAGUGCAGUAUUCAAUGACCAGGGCCUAUAACAACAUUUCCAGCACCUGGUAUACACCCUUAGCAAAAGGUGGUAUAUAUAUUGUUAUAUACCUCAUACAUAGAUUCUAGGCAUCUGAUUGGUUAAAAAGUAGGCAAUAGAAAGCAUUAUUCCCUGAAAAAUAGUACUUUUUUGACCUGUCGCGUGGUGCUAACUGUAGGCCCCACCUUUGCGCUGAUGGUAGAGGGGACUGUGACCUCUACGACGAAAGAGAUUGGCCCUUGAUCGCGCCACAGAUCAACAAGUAGACGAUAAACAAUAAUUAUGGAGGAUGUCGGUUCAAUCUCCUGGAUGAAGAAGGACUAGCCUAGGCCUAGCAAUACUUCCUGAUGAAGCCGAUAGCAAAAACACCAAAAGACAAAUUAAAUAUGUCUUGUCAGUAGUCGACAAAUAUUGCAAGACGAUGGAUUGAAAUUGAGGAAAUGAGCAAAGAAGAGCUAGACACACUCUUUGAUCAAUUAGGCCCUAGUUAGUAGGCCUCUAGGCUAGGAAGUAAGUACUUUUUAGGCCUCGUAGAAUCUAUGUAUGAGGUAUAUUAAACAAAUAUUGACUGCUCUAGAUUCGGGGAGCGGUGAAAUCUAUUACCCCGAGGUGAUGUGGAGACCGUAGCCUAUCUUCCCUCAGGCCUAUUGUCCCGAGGUGAUGUGGAGGCCUCCACAUCACAUCAGGGAUAUAGAUUUCACCAUUCUCCUCAUGAGCAGUCAAUAUUUGUAUACAAUAUUAUUAUGUAACAGG
rnacentral:misc_RNA from 1 species